CUUUUUUUUACCGGGGAAAAAAAAUAGCAUAUCAAUAAGCGGAGGAAAAGAAACCAACAGGGAUUGCCCCAGUAACGGCGAGUGAAGCGGCAACAGCUCAAAUUUGAAAUCUGGCCCCAGGCCCGAGUUGUAAUUUGUAGAGGAUGCUUUUGGUGCGGUGCCUUCCGAGUUCCCUGGAACGGGACGCCAUAGAGGGUGAGAGCCCCGUACGGUCGCGCGCUAAGCCUCUGUAAAGCUCCUUCGACGAGUCGAGUAGUUUGGGAAUGCUGCUCAAAAUGGGAGGUAUACGUCUUCUAAAGCUAAAUAUUGGCCAGAGACCGAUAGCGCACAAGUAGAGUGAUCGAAAGAUGAAAAGCACUUUGAAAAGAGGGUUAAACAGUACGUGAAAUUGUUGAAAGGGAAGCGCUCAUGACCAGACUUGGGCCCGGCGAAUCAUCCAGCGUUCUCGCUGGUGCACUUCGCCGGCUCAGGCCAGCAUCAGUUUGCUCCGGGGGACAAAGGCUUCGGGAAUGUGGCUCCCUCGGGAGUGUUAUAGCCCGUUGCGUAAUGCCCUGGGGCGGACUGAGGUACGCGCUCCGCAAGGAUGCUGGCGUAAUGGUCAUCAGCGACCCGUCUUGAAACACGGACCAAGGAGUCGUCUUCGUAUGCGAGUGUUCGGGUGUCAAACCCCUACGCGUAAUGAAAGUGAACGCAGGUGAGAGCUUCGGCGCAUCACCGACCGAUCCUGAUGUUCUCGGAUGGAUUUGAGUAAGAGCAUACGGGGCCGGACCCGAAAGAAGGUGAACUAUGCCUGUAUAGGGUGAAGCCAGAGGAAACUCUGGUGGAGGCUCGCAGCGGUUCUGACGUGCAAAUCGAUCGUCAAAUAUGGGCAUGGGGGCGAAAGGACUAAUCGA
rnacentral:rRNA from 1 species